UACGAAGGGGGCUAGCGUUGUUCGGAAUCACUGGGCGUAAAGCGCACGUAGGCGGAUCUUUAAGUCAGAGGUGAAAUCCCAAGGCUCAACCUUGGAACUGCCUUUGAUACUGCGAAUCUCGAGUCCGAUAGAGGUGGGUGGAAUUCCUAGUGUAGAGGUGAAAUUCGUAGAUAUUAGGAAGAACACCGGUGGCGAAGGCGGCCCACUGGAUCGGUACUGACGCUGAGGUGCGAAAGCGUGGGGAGCAAACAGG
rnacentral:rRNA from 1 species